rnacentral:rRNA from 1 species
GACGUAGGGCGCGAGCGUUGUCCGGAUUUAUUGGGCGUAAAGAGCUCGUAGGCGGUGUGUCGCGUCGGCCGUGAAAACCUGCAGCUUAACUGUGGGCGUGCGGUCGAUACGGGCAUCACUGGAGUUCGGCAGGGGAGACUGGAAUUCCUGGUGUAGCGGUGAAAUGCGUAGAUAUCGGGAGGAACACCAGUGGCGAAGGCGCGUUUCUGGGCUGCAUCUGACGCUGAGGCGCGAAAGCUAGGGGAGCAAACAGG